ACUGACCAAGGCCUUCCCUACCUCAGCACGACAGGAUUCUAAGUUCUCUGAAGGCAGGAACUACAUCCACUUCGUUUUGAGAGAGAAACCCUGGACUCCACUGGAAAUCGGUCACCAUCUUAUAGGCUAUCUGCUCAAGUUAAUUACAAUAAGGACCCGUCCUAAAUCUUCACCAAAGGGCCUCACGAUGGAGGCAGCAUUUUCUUAAGUGGUCCUUAAUCACAGGCCCAGAGGGCGAUGUGGCGUGAGGAGCUGGCCAGGGCGAGCUGAAAGGAUGGAUUUCACCCUUCUGUGCUGCUGUGCAGACAUAUUCAGGCCAUGAGACGUACAGCUCAGGCUAGAAUCCAUCAAGCCUCGCAUGGAAACUUCAGUUCUUCUCUGAGGAACAAGAGGAGGACGUGGGUGCUGGUGUCACAGUGGGCAGUGUCAGUGUGGACCGUUUGGUCCCCAGGAGAAGCCAUCUCCACACAGGGCGGGACGCUGGGCAGACAGCAG